rnacentral:rRNA from 1 species
GAAGACCUGUCCUUAGUACGAGAGGACCGGGAUGGACGUACCUCUGGUGUACCAGUUGUCCUGCCAAGGGCAUGGCUGGGUAGCUAUGUGCGGAAUGGAUAAGCGCUGAAAGCAUCUAAGCGCGAAGCCAACUUCAAGAUAAGAUUUCCCACCGCAAGGGUAAGACCCCAGAAAGACUAUCUGGUUGAUAGGUCGAAGGUGUAAGUGCAGCAAUGUA